GCUCCACCACACCAGUUAGUUAAGUCAAAAGAAAAGUUCCUUUUGAUCAAGUGUUUACAGUGUGUUAGUAACGUCAAAUAUACUUUUAUUUAAUGCUGCUGAUGUGUUAAGGUGUGAUGAUGUAGAGUAAUAUUAAAUACAAGACUUGAUUUGCACACUAGAAAACGUAAGAGACUCACGUGUUAAGCGGAUGGUAUUUAGAACUGGGGUGUAGACACCAUGACUAUUGCUACGAGAGGACAGGGGAUCGCUGUGGACCCGCCUCCUGAUGGCCAGAAUAAUGUACAGCCGGGUACAUUGGGAGUGG